UACAGAGGGGGCGAGCGUUGUUCGGAAUUACUGGGCGUAAAGGGCGCGUAGGCGGCCUGUUAAGUCGAACGUGAAAUCCCCGGGCUCAACCCGGGAACUGCGUCCGAUACUGGCAGGCUUGAAUUCGGGAGAGGGAUGCGGAAUUCCAGGUGUAGCGGUGAAAUGCGUAGAUAUCUGGAGGAGCACCGGUGGCGAAGGCGGCAUCCUGGACCGAGAUUGACGCUGAGGCGCGAAAGCCAGGGGAGCAAACGGG
rnacentral:rRNA from 1 species